rnacentral:lncRNA from 1 species
GAGACAUGUUGCAGCGUAUCCCUCAGAUUUAUUUUUUUUUCUUUUCCUUCCGUAUCCCUCUCUCUCGCACGAGACACCCGAGUCUCUUCUCUUCUCUUCCCUUCAGUUUUUCAUUUCUUCUUCUAUUUUGACCUAACGGCUGUGCUGUGCCUGUGGCUGCUCAAAUCUUCAAUCCAGAGCUGCACCUCUGCUGCGGCUGUGCCUGUGGCUGCUGCGAUUUCACGAUCUCCCGCCCAGGCCUAGGUAUCAUCCCUUCUCUCUCUCUCUCUCUCUCUCUCUCUCUCUCUCUCUCUCAAGUCGACCUCAGCCUAACCCACAUCACCUCUCUCUGUUUCAGGCACACACAACACAAACCCGAUCAAGAGCCGCCACAACCAAAUCUCUCUCCCUCUCUGUUAGUCUCCCUUGUGGGCAUGCUUUACAUUCUGUGAUAAAGAUUACCCCUUUGUUCCUGGGUUGUUUUCUGCUUUGGAUAUAGAAGCUACGCACUUUGAUUGGUGCUCCUUGCGUGGGUUUCUGGGCUUCUUAAAAGUUUGUGUAAAAAUACUGUUUGUUCUUUUACUUUCUCAUAUAUGGGAUGGUUUAUCAGUACAAGAAGCUGAAUUCUGCUUGAAAUUUGACAACUUCUGUUAUUUUAUUUUUAUACAUAUAUAUUUUUUUAAAAUUUAACAAAACUAAUGAAACUGUGAAUUGCUCAAGUUUUUAUUUGCUUUGAUGUAUGAAAUAUAAAGUUCAAAUGUAUACAUAGUGUAGUUUUAUACAUCUUCCCAACUAAUAGUUGAUUUUUGAAAGGAAGAUAAUAGUUGUUGAGCUUCCAGUAGCUGAUAUAAAACUUGGGACAAGAAAAGCGACACAAAAACUUGUACUGAUAUUUCUUCAAGAUGACAGAAUAUGACCCUAAUAAUAUUUCUGUAUAUGACCCUAAUAACUUCAAAAACAUCACAAAUGGAUAGGUACUUGUUGGAUCCACUUGAAUCCAUUGAUGAGGAGUUUGAUAUAUUAUAUAUUGUAGAAAUGGGGAGUAAAACAUCCACUACAAAUUUGAAUAAGACUCUCCCUUCUUAGUGUGAUUAAGAUAUGUUGGAAGGUAUUUUUAUUGCAUCUUAUUUUAAUUAUGAUUUGUUGAUGGUGAAACUUUGUGUUAAUUCUUUUAAGUGUUGUGUAGGUUGCUUUGUGAAGGCUUUUGGAAGAAUGGAUGCAUCAUAUUUUUUGCAAGGAUAUUAUCUCUGUGUAUUUUUGUGAUGGGUUGUAAUCUUUAAUGUCAUAAGUUUAAUUUGGUUUGUGUAUUAUUUUUUGUAAUGGUUUGUAAGAGAUUAUAUUUCCUUUCUUGGUUGGUUGGUUGGUUGAAUGUGUGUAUGUGAGAUUUAUUUAGUUUAGAAACUUAGAUUGGAAUGAUGGAUUUUUAUUGCUUGAAUGUACAUAAUUUCAGGUUUUGAAAGAGAAGUAAAAAGUGUUUUGGGCUUGUUCAUAAGAAUUUAAUAGGUUUUGGCAAUUUGACAACAAAAAAAGGGUUUUGGCUGAAAGGGAAUUGGAUUUGGGCUUUGUUUUGC